GGAAAUGUAUUGCAAAUAUACUCCCUGAAGCAACCAGGAAGUGCAUUUUUAAUGUAUUAUUUUAGUCCUUCCUGCGGGGCAGUGCCUGGAGGAGCUCCCUAGGAAUCAGAAUGGCUGGAGCAGCUUGAGUAGCAGCUAUUCCAGCCAGUAAGACCAAAACAAGAAAUUACAGGCAGGUGGGGCAGAGUUGGAAGAAGCUCCCUGCUCUGAAGUUUUCCCUGGCUGCUGCAGAGGAAGAAACUGGAAGAGAAGACAAGUACUGGGGAUUCUCUAGCUAGAGCUAGAGAAUGACUUCACUGACUUCCUCUUCUGGGAGGAGGAGGAGAUGGCGGGAAGCUGGCCAGCUGCUGCUGUGGCAGAGAGGGGAAAGGUGAUGUGCACCCCAAAAGGGGCAGCAGCAGGCCCCCUGCUGACAACGGGCCCAGCAGCCCAUAUCCAUCAUACUUCUAGGAGUUUGGAAACCAUGGGACUAAGGUUUCAUCGUUUAUCCUCACCACCACCCACAAGCAUGCUGUGAGAUAAAUGGUCCAUCUUGUUGCUCUUCUCCAGAGAGAAACUCCACAACACAUUUUCAUUAUUUAUGAGAAAUGUCCUAGACAAGAGCCUUGCAAAUGUAUCCUUUCUUCCCGCUUUUGCUGAUUUUCUACUAGUCUGUUGCUUAGAAAUCAGAGAGAGGUUAAACCUUGAAACACAGAGAGAGCCUGUCAGUCACAGCUUGAGCUGCUGCUUUUCUCCCUUUACAUACUGUAUACUAUAGCAGGAGGAAAUUCAACAGGUGGAGUUUUCCCCAUCAUUGCAUCCCUGCUUUAGACACUUUAUUGCAGAAAAUAACAAUUAAAAUUUGCCUGUGAAUAAUAAUGCUAAUAUUUCUCAAUAAAGAUCUGUCUGUGAAUGUAUCAGAUCUAA